CUAAAGUGAGGUUUAAAGACUAAAAGUCCAAGUGGCAAGUGUCCAGACCCUGCCAAACGGCAAUCCUGUGUCUCAGAGGGUCCAUUUCAACUGCUGCUGAAUGUAGGGAAUAUUUGGUGAUAUUAUACAGAGCUUCACUUCAUCACGUGGAGGAGACUGUGCAACUUGACCUUCAAUCAAGAAGUAUCUCUUCCGUCAGCAGGUGGCCACCAGGAGAACCAGGGAUGGAGGUCAGACUGGGAGAACUGCGCAUUCUCUGCAUCCCUGUAGUUGAGUGUCUUCAUU
rnacentral:lncRNA from 1 species